UAAAGUAGGUUGGUGCCCUCUACUUCACAAGUCUAAUGAACAAAUCCUGACAUGUUUGGGUGGAGGGAGGUACAAGAGGACAAGGAGGGGGUAUGAGGAGGGCAGGGUGAGGAGAGGGGUACAAUCAAGUGGGACUACUUGCCUGUCUUCAGAGAUUGCCCACCAAGGGGCCCCUGUGUGUCCCCUGCAAAGUACAAAGAGGAGCCCAGUCCUGGAGCUCCACAUUUGGCACCAGACAAUCUGUUUAUUGCCGGUGCAGCUUUGAGGCUUUCCACUGUGUUGCAAGACACAGGCAUUGCUCUCUGCAAAAGUGGAAAUCCAGAACAAAUUUCCAACUUGAGAAGAAAUGGGUGUGGAGACAAUGAGGACAAACCCCAGCAGGACUCCUGAAAAAAAGACCACAUGAAGCGGAACAGCCAUCUGAUAGGCCUGUGAAUCAGGAAACAAUCCCCAAGUUAAUGUCCUUACAGGACAUUUAAAAAGCUCUAGCCAACUAGCUGAGGAGGUAGAAGACAGAAGUGUUCCCAUACAGGCCUGCAGCAGUUAAAGAAUGAUCAGAGAGAGGACAGUGGCUUUCGUGGAGGAGUGGGGUAAAAAAACCCAAACAACAAAAUCCUUGGAAAAGCCUCACUAAUGACUGACACCCAUCAUAACCAUUAAUAAAGUAUCUUUUUGCAUUAAUUGA